GACGAACGCUGGCGGCGUGCUUAACACAUGCAAGUCGAGCGGUAAGGCCUCUUCGGGGGUACACGAGCGGCGAACGGGUGAGUAACACGUGGGUGACCUGCCCUCAGCUCUGGGAUAAGCCUGGGAAACUGGGUCUAAUACCGGAUAUGACCUUUCCUCGCAUGGGGUUUGGUGGAAAGUUUUUUCGGCUAGGGAUGGGCCCGCGGCCUAUCAGCUUGUUGGUGGGGUGAUGGCCUACCAAGGCGACGACGGGUAGCCGGCCUGAGAGGGCGACCGGCCACACUGGGACUGAGACACGGCCCAGACUCCUACGGGAGGCAGCAGUGGGGAAUAGUGCGCAAUGGGCGGAAGCCUGACGCAGCGACGCCGCGUGGGGGAUGACGGCCUUCGGGUUGGAAACCUCUUUCGACCCCGACGAAUUUGGACGGUAGGGGUAGAUGAAGCACCGGCCAACUACGUG
rnacentral:rRNA from 1 species